ensembl:lncRNA
GGGAAGGACGGAUUUGAAGUGGGAGAUACGGAGUGCAGCAGGUUUGAGAGUGCAAAAUAUAACUAAAAAACAUGGCGAAGAAAGGUUUUACAAGAGAGGAGGCAAUUGAUUUGAUCUUUGAUGACACCUGGAAAGAGGCUGAACAUGACUUCGGACCCGGAGUUUGUGUAUUAAGACGUUGAGGAGGCGUAUGCUGCUGGCAUUGAUCCAGACGUGGAUUGUUACCUACGAAGAAGCAAAUGGGCCAUCCACGUCGAACACAAUACCAUCUCAGAGGGGCCGUGGUCGCAGCUGUAGCUGUAAAAUAAGUACAUGGGAGGAGUUGACACCUCCAACAAUAUGCUCGGAAAAAGUCAGUACACCGUUAAACACGGAAGUGGUACAUAAUUUUCUAGCACUUCCUGGACAUUGCAGUGACCAACUGCUUAAUUUUACACAAAGUGUUGUGUGCCAUCCACCAUGACAAGCACAUGACACGGCAAAACUUUCAGGAGCAGCUAGCUUCUCAGCUCAUGGGUGUUCCCCUGGAUGGCAGCCCGAGAGAGAGAUGUGCUCAUCUGCCUGUUCCUGUGAGUGACACUCAAGACCUUUCACAGAGUUGCAUACGAUGCAAAAGGAGCACCCAAUGGAAGUGCCAGGAAUGUGAUGUGGGACUAUGCUUGCAGUUAGACAGGAACUGCUUCAGAGAGCACCACAUUUAAAUGACUGGAUUGAAGGAUCCAAAAACGCCUGGAGAACUGGGGUAAAACAAAUGGCUCCUGUGUGAAAACUGUGCAAUCUAGUGUCCCCAAAAGACUUGUAUGUAUUAUAGUUUCUUUAUCAAUAUUGAGGCAUUAGAUUCUUUCAUUCAUGAGUUUUCAGAUUUUUUUUAAUAAAAAGCAGUAAAAUUUCUUCAGUUUUUUUUUUGUCUAAUUAAAUUAUAUUUACUAAAACACCACACACAAUAAUGUACAAUAACUGUAAUUUCCUGAAAGCCAAUAAUUUUCUGAGAAAAAUGAAACCCUGCACUAUUUUAAAAUGGCCUAUUUUAGCUUUAGGUUCUAAAGGGUCAAAGUUCAUGGUGUAUAUAUACUGAAUUCCUUCUCAGCUCUUUCCAGGCAUUGCUGUUGAUUUAACUGGGUUAUACUGUUUAAGAAUAGCGCAGAAAUUUUUUUAUCAAUGUCUCUUUGUGUCCACAGUAGAUUGUGUGCAAAAGCUUGAACAUUCAUGUUCAUAUUCAUGUCAUUUCACAAUUAUGCCAUCAUUAAUAACACACUGUUUAUCAGUAUUCCAAAGGACCAAGUCACCACUUUAGUUGAGGGGCCAUAAACAUGAUGAAGUCAUGAAGUUAAUGCUUAGUUAAUGAUGACUACUGUAUUUAGAUGUUAACAGAAUUCAUGUGAUAUGUGCAGUGAUUGGCUAAUGUUAAGGUCUGUCUAUUUACCUACUAUGAAGAAGAAAUGAACAUGCUUGAUAACACAUCAUAUUUAAUGAAAAACAUUAGUUCUCACAUUAAUGGAUAUACUGUUCUAGCCUGUAUACAUGCAUGAGGUAAUGUGGAUUUUUUUUUUAUAUUCCUUUAAUAACUAAAAAGUCUUGCAUGCACAAAAUAAUGCUUUUUUGAAUCAUGUACUAUAAGCAUAGCUUUAUCCACAAUUCAUAGUAAAGACCUUGUUUUUUGUGAACAAAGAAAACAUCAUGAUCAUGUGUAAUAAACCAUAAAUCAC